CAAAAGAAACUGGCAACAUAGACUUUUGCAAAUUGACUGAAGACAGAGUUUCUAAAGACACUACACUGUGCAUUUCAAUGGAAGAGGUUUGAACCAAGAGAGGUCUGUAUUAAGGAUAUAUAUGGCAGCUGGGAAGUCUGAAUUGCAGCUGGUGCUUCUCUGAUCACUAGAAUCCUUGCUUGGACAGAUCUUGUGGUUCUGAUCAACUGAGAAUACUAUUGAAAUGAACAGACCCUCAUCUAGUCCAGAACAGAAUCAUGAGAAAUAUAUAAAAAUGGACCAGCAGAAAAUUUAAAUGAGUGUGUGUGUGUGUUGUUUCUAUCCUUGAGCUCAAGGGCCUAUCACAAAGAUGGAUUAAGAACAUUCAAUGAUCAUGGAUACGUAACAUAAUAAAAAUGACAAUCCUACCCAAAUUAAUUUACUGAUUUAGUGCCAUACCUAUAAAACUACCAAGAGAUUUUUUUACUUAAUUAGAAAAAAAUUAUAACAAAGUUUCAUUUGGAAGACCAAAAGAUCAAGAAUAUCAAGGGAAAUAAUGAAAAAAAAAUGUGAAGGAUGGGGGGCUAGCAGUACCAGAUCUUAAACUGUACUAUUAAGCAGUGGUCAUCAAAACAAUAUGGUAUUGAAGGGAGGAUCAGUGGAAUUGACUUGGAGUAAAUUACCUAAGCAAGACAGGCUAUGUUAAACCCAAAGAUCCCAGCUUUUGGGACAAAAAUUUACCCACUAUUUGACAAAAACUGCUGGACAAAUUGGAAAACAGUAUGGGACAUCUCACACUCUACACCAAGAUAAAUUCAGAAUGGGUGAAUGACUUAAAUAUAAAGAAGGAAACUAUAAGUAAAUUAGGUGAACAUAGAACAGUUUACCUAUCAGAUCUAUGGGAAAGGAAAGAUUCUAAGACCAAGCAAGAAACAGAGACUAUUACAAAAUGUAAAAGGAAUAAUCUGAUUACAUUAAAUUAAAAAGGUUUUGUACAAAUAAAACCAAUACAACUAAAAUUAGAAUGGAAGCAACAAAUUGGGGAAAAUAUUCAUAACAAAAGCCUCUGACAAAGGUUUAAUUACUUAAAUCUAUAAGGAGGUAAAUCAAUUGAACAAAAAAAUCAAGUCAUUCCCCAAUUGAUAAAUGGGCAAGGGACAUGAACAGGUAAUUUUCAGAUAAAUCAAAACUCUCAAUAAGCAUAUGAAAAAGUGUUCUAAAUCUCUUAUAAUCAGAGAAAUACAAAUCAAAACAACUCUGAGGUACCACCUCACAUCUAACAGAUUGGCUAAUUUGACAGUAAAGGAAAAUAAUAAAUGUUGGAGGAGAUGUGGCAAAAUUGGGACAUUAAUGCACUACUGGUAGAGUUAUGAAUUAACCCAACCAUUCUGGAAGGCAAUUUGGAACUAUGUCUAAAGGGCAUUAAAAGAUUGUCUGCCCUUUGAUCCAGCCAUACCACUGCUGGGUUUUUGCCCCAAAGAGAUAAUAAGGAAAAAGACUUGUACAAAAAUAUUUAUAGCCAUGCUCUUUGUGGUGGCAAAAAAUUGGAAAAUGAGGGGAUACCCUUUGAUUGAGGAAUGACUAAACAAAUUAUGGUAUCUGUUGGUGAUGGAAUACUAUUGUGCCAAAAGGAAUGAUGAACUGGAGGAAUUCCAUUUGAAACUGGAACGACCUCCAGGAACUGAUGCUGAGUGAAAGGAGCAGAACCAGGAGAACCUUAUACACAGAGACAGAUAGAUACACUGUGGCACAAUUGAAUGUAGUAGACUUCUCUACUAGCAGCAGUACAAUGAUCCAGGACAAUUGUGAGGGACUUAUGAGAAAACGCUAUCCACAUCCAGAGGAAGAACUGUGGGAGUAGAAAUACAGAAGAAAAACAACUGCUUGAUCACUUGGUUCAAUGGGGAUAUGAUUGGGGAUGUAGACUCUAAAUGAUCACCCUAGUACAAAUAUCAAUAAGAUAGAAAUAGGUCUUGAUCAAUGACAUAUGUAAAACCCAGUGGUAUUGCUUGUUGGCAUGGGAAGUGUUGAGUAGUUUUGAAAUUCACAGAAGGGAGUGGGAAGAGGGGAAAGAAAGAACAUGAUUCAUGUAACUAUGGAAAAAUAUUCUAAAUUAAUUAAUAAACUUAAUUUAAAAAAACCAUUCAAAGAGAGUUCCCUCUCUCCCUUUCCUCAUAUUACACUACUCGGACAU